AGGACGAACGCUGGCGGCGUGCUUAACACAUGCAAGUGGAGCGACGAACCGGGGCUUGCCCCGGGGCAGAGCCGCGAACGGGUGAGUAACACGUGGGCAACCUGCCCCUGACUCUGGGAUAACUCCGGGAAACCGGAGCUAAUACCGGAUAUGAACACGAAGGACAUCCUUUGUGUUGGAAAGUUUUUCGGUCAGGGAUGGGCCCGCGGCCUAUCAGCUAGUUGGUGGGGUAAUGGCCCACCAAGGCGACGACGGGUA
rnacentral:rRNA from 1 species